ensembl:lncRNA
CCAGGAACCACUGGUGGAGGGCUGAGCCGGUGGUGGAGGAGAAGGAGGAGGUGGAGCAGCGGACCAGGAACCACUGGUGGAGGGCUGAGCCGGUGGUGGUGGAGAAGGAGGAGGUGGAGCAGCGGACCAGGAACCACUGGUGGAGGGCUGAGCCGGUGGUGGAGGAGAAGGAGGAGGUGGAGCAGCGGACCAGGAACCACUGGUGGAGGGCUGAGCCGGUGGUGGAGAAGGAGGAGGUGGAGCAGCGGACCAGGAACCACUGGUGGAGGGCUGAGCAGGUGGUAGUGAAAUGAGGGCAGAGAAGAGCUCCAGACUAGCCUCGGUGUCGUCUGUGAAGCCCUCAUCCUCUGCCUCGUCGCCCAGGUCCUCCAGCAGCUGCUCCGUCUCC